GAAUUGCAUUCGAUACUGGUUGGCUAGAGUAUGGGAGAGGAUGGUAGAAUUCCAGGUGUAGCGGUGAAAUGCGUAGAGAUCUGGAGGAAUACCGAUGGCGAAGGCAGCCAUCCGGCCUAAUACUGACGCUGAGGUACGAAAGCAUGGGGAGCAAACAGGAUUAGAUACCCUGGUAGUCCAUGCCGUAAACGAUGUCUACUAGCCGUUGGGGCCCUUGAGGCUUUAGUGGCGCAGCUAACGCGAUAAGUAGACCGCCUGGGGAGUACGGUCGCAAGACUAAAACUCAAAUGAAUUGACGGGGGCCCGCACAAGCGGUGGAGCAUGUGGUUUAAUUCGAUGCAACGCGAAGAACCUUACCUGGCCUUGACAUACAGAGAACUUUCCAGAGAUGGAUUGGUGCCUUCGGGAACUCUGAUACAGGUGCUGCAUGGCUGUCGUCAGCUCGUGUCGUGAGAUGUUGGGUUAAGUCCCGCAACGAGCGCAACCCUUUUCCUUAUUUGCCAGCACUUCGGGUGGGAACUUUAAGGAUACUGCCAGUGACAAACUGGAG
rnacentral:rRNA from 1 species